rnacentral:rRNA from 1 species
UAUAAUAGCGGAGAGAAGAAACUAACCAGGAUUCCCUUAGUAACGGCGAGUGAACAGGGAUUAGCCCAGCACCGAAGCCUGCGGUCGUUUGGUCGUUCGGCAAUGUGGUGUUUAGGUUGGCAUAUUUAGGCGUUGCACUGUGCUAAGUCCAUUCAUGAAUAUGGCUAGCUAUCUGGCCCAGAGAGGGUGAAAGGCCCGUGUGCACAGUGCGUCGUCCUGUCUUUGUCAACUGUUGAGUCGGGUUGUUUGGGAAUGCAGCCCAAAGUUGGUGGUAAACUCCAUCUAAGGCUAAAUACUGGCACGAGUCCGAUAGAGAACAAGUACCGUGAGGGAAAGUUGAAAAGUACUCUGAAGAGAGAGUUAACAGUGCGUGAAACCGCUUAGAAGCAAACAGGUGUAGUCAAACUGCAAGCCUUAAGAAAUCGGUUGGUCAGAUUGGCGUAAGUCUGAGCGUUGGGCUGUUGUCUGGGUCCGCCGUACUGGCGGGUUCGGCUUCCUCGGAAGCCGGAUUUGUGGUGCGAGGUUCGUUGCUGCAAGCCUGGGCAACUGUUGCUCUGCUGGCCCGCUUAUUUUCUUUUGGCGUUUGUCACGACCGCUGUUGCUGUCGGUCUACUCCGCUCAAACCGUUACGUGAUAAGUUUUGUGCUUUUUACGUCUUGGGGGCAGAUUACCCGGUUGGUUUCAUCGCCGAGCGGGUGUAAAAGCUGAGUGGAGUUGAGUCCGUAAUCCGUGCAGUACAGCGGGUAUGGCGGCAGGUUGUGUUGCUAGCUAGGUGCGCUAAAGUCGUAUCUGCGUAGUCAUAGUGUGAUUGCCUGUUGCUGUCUUUGACAGCCGGUCAAUUGCUAUGUCUCGUUAUAUUCGCGGCUGCAUCUGGUCAACCGUCACGCUGUGCCUAUAGUCAGUGUCAUAUGGUAGACGAUUCAUCUGA